rnacentral:tRNA from 1 species
GGAGAUGUGGGUAGGAAGUGGUAGAGCACCUGCCUACAAAGCAAGAAGUCCUGAGUUCAAAUCUCAGUAUCACCC